UGCAGUCGAGCGGCAGCACAAGGGAGUUUACUCCUGAGGUGGCGAGCGGCGGACGGGUGAGUAAUGCCUAGGGAUCUGCCCAGUCGAGGGGGAUAACAGUUGGAAACGACUGCUAAUACCGCAUACGCCCUACGGGGGAAAGAGGGGGACUUUCGGGCCUCUCGCGAUUGGAUGAACCUAGGUGGGAUUAGCUAGUUGGUGAGGUAAUGGCUCACCAAGGCGACGAUCCCUAGCUGUUCUGAGAGGAUGAUCAGCCACACUGGGACUGAGACACGGCCCAGACUCCUACGGGAGGCAGCAGUGGGGAAUAUUGCACAAUGGGGGAAACCCUGAUGCAGCCAUGCCGCGUGUGUGAAGAAGGCCUUCGGGUUGUAAAGCACUUUCAGUAGGGAGGAAAGGUUGUAAGUUAAUACCUUGCAGCUGUGACGUUACCUACAGAAGAAGGACCGGCUAACUCCGUGCCAGCAGCCGCGGUAAUACGGAGGGUCCAAGCGUUAAUCGGAAUUACUGGGCGUAAAGCGUGCGCAGGCGGUUUGUUAAGCGAGAUGUGAAAGCCCCGGGCUCAACCUGGGAAUUGCAUUUCGAACUGGCAAACUA
rnacentral:rRNA from 1 species